rnacentral:lncRNA from 10 species
AGCGGUAGGCCCCGCCCACAGAGGAGGGUACCCCGCCGGAAGCCCCCUGCUCUGUGGGAACCGGAGGGAGGACAGCGCGAGGUCCCCGGACAAAGCGUGGCGCAUAAGUCCGGCCCGUAACUUGGUGGGCAGGCAACUUAGGGGAUGUGGGCCUGGUUAUAGCUGAGCAUGCUUUUCUAUUCCUCCCAGACCACAGUUCUUCAGACCUGGAGCCACUUUCAGAGAAGAGUAUAAGUUGCACUGAAUUGAAAAAGGGAAAAGUUUAGGACUGCAGAAGAUGGAAUUCCUGGGGACGUUAAACUGGGCUAAGAUGGAGCAGAUAAGAUUUCCUUAAUUAGAGCAAGACACACCUAGUAUCUAGAGCCUGGAAGUCUUGGUCAAGGAUUCUCCCUAACAUCUCAGUUUCUCAGCACUAACAUUCCUGCUACUAAAAUGAAGUGAGAAAUUAAUUUCUGAAGUUAAGUAAAGAAAUAAACUAAAAUUCCUAGAAAAGAGGUAAGAAGAAUGAGCCUUUGAAAAAUGUCUUCACAAAGACUGGCAUGAUGGCAUGGAAGAAAGAGCCCCAGAUAUCCAGUAUACAUCUCAAGGUCAACUUGUCCAAAACAGAGCUACUGAUGAUUUUCCCCUUGAAAUCUACUCUUCCUACAGCUUAUUCAUCUCAAAUAGCUGGAGUACAGUGGCAUGAUCAUAUCUCACUGCAACUUCUACCUCCUGGGCUCAAGCAAUCCUCUUACCUCAGCCUCCUGAGUAGCUGGGACUAUAG